GUGCGCACGCACGCCGGGAGUUCUCGCGUGCGGUCACACGCCGCUUCGCCUAGUCUCGUCGCUGUUACGUGCAGGUCGCGUCGCGGGUUCAACCGACGCUCGAUUAAUCGCCGUCGAAAAGCCAAUAAUUCCGGUUAAAUCGAUUUCCCGUCGCCGGAAGUCGUCGUGUACGUUGUGUGACCGUUUCUCGUUGUGCGUCCCUGUGCCGUUCGAGGGCAAAACAAUACGAACGUGAAGUGUCAGUUUGAAAUUCCGCGACAGUUGCCGACGACGUGCCGCACUCGUCCUCCGUGACAGGCCCGUCGCUCCGUUCCGGGAUCCGCGGCGAUCGACGAACGUCUCCAUCGACCGGCCCAGUGAUGUCGAUCGAGAUUUAACGCGCCGAUGUGCACGGACCAAAGGAAGAGUUCGAACGUGAAAGUAAACGGUCGCGACGCGUAGUUUUUCGGAUGUGGUGCUGCCUCCUCGCCUCGAGGUACCGAUCCCAUCGGGACCCGGUCGUGCCACGCCACUCGAUCUACGAGCGGUCAACGUACUUUGGAGAUCACGUGUCGAGUGCGAAAUACAUGCAUACGGGAUCGUCCAACUUAAGGUUUCAAUUUUCGUUGCGGCGCGAUCCUGCAUAUGAAUAAUCGCAGCAUUUAUUCGCGUUUAAUGACAUUCCAACGCGUCGAAACGCGCUUCUGAAUAAACGUUUCCCGUGGAGCCAGUGUAACGCGGCGACGAUGUGCACGGAUAAUGCAAACUAAAUAAACAUCCGUUUUAAUCAAGCAGUGUGUCAGUGUUAUAUCGUUUAACGAAGUGUGAAGCGCGAAAUUUGUGAGGGACCGAGGAAACCGUUGACGAAUUCGUUCCCGGCCAACUGGAUUAUGACGAAGUACACUCUUGUGCCGUGGAAGAUUAAUGCUGAAACACUUACCUGCGAAUUCCACUAAUCAACGGACCGUUUCUAGUUCAUGUGCUUCGGUGACCUCGGCCGAUGGAAUAUCCAGCGUCCGAGAAUCUGGAAUGGUGAAAAAAAAACAGAAAGUGGUCAUCAGUGAUUAAAGGAUUCAGUGAUUCAGAGUGGUGGACAAACGAAAGCUGUUGAACGAGCGCAUCAACGCACACUGAAACGCUGCAGAAGCUCCAGAGGAAGGAAGCACCGUGUCCUGUAAGAGAAUCGGUGACGACCAAUUACAUUGAAGGAGGAUCUGUCCUAUGAGCCCCUCGAUGUG